AUACAGAGGGUGCGAACGUUGCUCGGAAUUACUGGGCGUAAAGCGCGUGUAGGCGGACCGGUAAGUCAGAUGUGAAAUCCCUGGGCUCAACCCAGGAACUGCAUUUGAAACUGCUGGUCUAGAGUAUCGGAGAGGGUGGCGGAAUUCCUGGUGUAGAGGUGAAAUUCGUAGAUAUCAGGAGGAACACCGGUGGCGAAGGCGGCCACCUGGACGGUCACUGACGCUGAGACGCGAAAGCGUGGGGAGC
rnacentral:rRNA from 1 species